GUAGUCUCGCACAGAUGCAUAUCAAUAAGCGGAGGAAAAGAAACUAACAAGGAUUCCCCUAGUAACGGCGAGUGAAGCGGGAAGAGCUCAAAUUUGAAAUCUUAAAGGGUUUCCCUUUACGAAUUGUAGUUUAAAGAAGUGUUUUCUGUUGAGGUUUUGGUAAAAGUUCUUUGGAAUAGGACAUCAUAGAGGGUGAGAAUCCCGUAUUUGACCUUUACUUUCAACUUUGUGAUACACUUUCAAAGAGUCGGAUUGUUUGGGAAUGCAGUCCAAAAUGGGUGGUAAAUUUCAUCUAAAGCUAAAUAUUGGCGAGAGACCGAUAGCGAACAAGUACCAUGAGGGAAAGAUGAAAAGAACUUUGAAAAGAGAGUUAAACAGUACGUGAAAUUGUCAAAAGGGAAGCGUUUGACACCAGUGUUGUUUUUCUGAAAAUCAAUUAAAGAACUGUUUAUGCUAAGUUGUUUAGACUUUAUCAGCUAACUGUUUAGUUUUGAGCUUUUCUUUAAUGCACUUUUCAGUUAACAAGUCAACAUCAAUUUCUUUUGCUGUAAAAAAGCUUGAGGAAGGUGGCUUGAGAUUCGUCUUAAGUGUUUAUAGCCUCUUGCCUAUGCAGUCGGAGAGAUUGAGGUCUGCAGCGUAGAUCCUUCGGGGCUAAAUGCAUUUGUGCUAAGUUAUAACAUUUUAUAGACAACUUGUUGACUAUGAUUUGUCUUGUAGCUUACUCGCUUAUGUUAUUUUACCUACGCUUAGGAUGUUGAUCUGUAGUGCGUGCGC
rnacentral:rRNA from 1 species